rnacentral:rRNA from 1 species
UACGAGAGGCCCAAACGUUAUUCGGAUUUACUGGGCUUAAAGAGUUCGUAGGCGGCGCGGAAAGUAGGGUGUGAAAGCCCUCGGCUCAACCGAGGAAUUGCGCCCUAAACUGCCGCGCUCGAGGAACCUAGAGGUGAGCAGAACUGAUGGUGGAGCGGUGAAAUGCGUUGAUAUCAUCAGGAAUACCGGAGGCGAAGGCGGCUCACUGGGGGUUAUCUGACGCUGAGGAACGAAAGCCAGGGGAGCAAACGGG